rnacentral:tRNA from 1 species
AGCCUAGUAGCUCAGUUGGCAGAGCGGCGGACUGUUAAUCCGUAUGUCGCAGGUUCGAGCCCUGCCUAGGCUGCCA